UCUCUCAUAAUUACUCCUAAAAAAAAGAGAAAAAGAAAGAAAAGGGGAAGCGUGCACGUUUGCCUCAUGGGUCCUCUUUCAUAAUCACCUACCAGAAAACUUCACCUGAGGUCUCUCUCACGGAUUCCCAUUAUUAAAAAGAGAAAAGAAAGAAACAGGAAGAGGAAAUAAAAAAAACACCCCUCUUCUUAAAAAAAUCACAACACCUCUCUUCCUCAUCUUGGUUUUCCAAUCACCAUUGUCUCCGUCCACACCUUCCACACGCCGCCACACAACACCAAAUCGACGCCGCGAGAACCAUCAUCUCUCCGUCAGCACAACACGCACCACCACCGCCUUAACUUCCUUCAAACAACCUUCCGCUUCCGGCACCGUCUCCCACCUUU
rnacentral:lncRNA from 1 species